GGGCCCGCACAAGCGGAGGAACAUGUGGUUUAAUUCGAUGAUACGCGAGGAACCUUACCCGGGCUUGAAAUGCUCACGCAUAAUUUGGAAACAGAUUAGUCAGCAAUGACGUGAGUGUAGGUGCUGCAUGGUUGUCGUCAGCUCGUGCCGUGAGGUGUCGGCUUAAGUGCCAUAACGAGCGCAACCCCUAUCGUUAGUUACUAACAGGUAACGCUGAGGACUCUAGCGAGACUGCCACCGUAAGGUGUGAGGAAGGUGGGGAUGAUGUCAAAUCAGCACGGCCCUUACGUCCGGGGCGACACACGUGUUACAAUGGGGGGUACAGAGGGCAGCUACCACGCGAGUGGAUGCGAAUCUCCAAAAAGCCUCUCCCAGUUCGGAUUGGAGUCUGCAACUCGACUCCAUGAAGCUGGAUUCGCUAGUAAUCGCGCAUCAGCCAUGGCG
rnacentral:rRNA from 1 species